rnacentral:tRNA from 1 species
GCCUGGGUGGCUUAGUUGGUUAAGCAUCCAAGUUCAGCUCAGGUCAUGAUCUCACAGUUUGUGGGUUCAAGCCCCACAUCAGGCU